rnacentral:SRP_RNA from 1 species
GCCAGGCAUGGCAUGUGCCUGAAGUCCCACUUACCUGGGAGGCUGAGGCAGGAGGAUGGCUUAAAGCCCAGCAGUUCUGGGCUGUGGUCCAUUACGCCUUUCCGGUGUCUGCACUAAGUUCGGCACCAUAGUGACCUCCCCAGGGCAGGAACCAACAGGUUGCCUCAGGACGGACAAACUGGCCCAUGUCAAAAAUAAAGCAGGUAAAAACAAUCACAGUGGUAGGACUGUGCCUGUGGACAGCCAAUGUACCCCAGUCUUAACAACAUAGCUAGACCCUGUCUCU